UGCCUAACACACGCGAAGUCGAACGGGGGUAGCAAUACCCUAGUGGCGAACGGGUGAGUAACACAGUAAGCAAUCUGACCCUUCGACAGGGGGAUAACAGCGGGAAACUGCUGCUAAUACCGCAUAAGGACCACGGUACCGCAGUGGUACAGGGGUAAAAACGAAUCAGUGGUGAAGGAUGAGCUUAUGUCCCAUUAGCUAGUUGGUGAGAUAACAGCCCACCCAAGGCGACGAUGGGUAGCCGACCUGAGAGGGUGAUCGGCCACACUGGAACUGAGACACGGUCCAGACUCCUACGGGAGGCAGCAGUGGGGAAUAUUGGGCAAUGGAGGAAACUCCUUACCCAGCAAUGCCGCGUGAGUGAAGAAGGUCUUCGGAUUGUAAAGCUCUUUGAUUGGGGACGAAGAAAGUGACAGUACCCAAAGAACAAGCCCCGGCUAACUACGUGCCAGCAGCCGC
rnacentral:rRNA from 1 species